UGCUCCAAAGUCUCGUCCGGUUUCUCACUGUGAUGAUGAAGCAUGGUUACAUUGGCGAAUUUGAAAUCAUUGAUGAUCGCAGAGCUGGGAAAAUGGCAGAAUAAUCUGCUUCCAUCCCACCAGUUUGGUUUCAUUGUACUGACAACCUCAGCUGGCAUCAUGGACCAUGAAGAAGCAAGACGAAAACACACAGGAGGGAAAAUCCUGGGAUUCUUUUUCUAGGGAUGUAAUACAUAUAUUUACAAAUAAAAUGUCUCAUGGAAAAAAAAGAAAAAAGACAGGGUCUUGCUCUGUCACCCAGGCUGGAGUGCAGUGGCACAAUCAUGGCUCACUGCAGCCUAGAACUCCUGGG
rnacentral:lncRNA from 1 species